GGGACAGGCUACUCAGGCCACCAUGAGUGUAAAAUUCUCAAUUUGCAUUCCAGUUUUAGACGUCAUUAUCUUGUGGGCUUUGAGUGACUCUGCAUCUCCAGACUAGCCAAUCCUGGGACACUUGCAACAUCUUUUCUGCACCUACGAAAUUAUGGACCAGAUUCACCAACGGAAUUGCCAAUUUGUGAGCUAGGAGCUGACAGAACAUUUAGGUUGCACAAGGUCUGCUGGAGCACUUUAGAGAAUUCCAGAUGAAUCUUGAUUGCAUCCUGGAAUGCACCGCUGGAGCCCUGGGGACCAGCAUGGGACAUGAGUGAAGACAAGAUGGGAUCUAUUGUCCUCCAGACCUGCAUAUAUGUGUGUUCAAAUCCUGACUCCAUGAGGCUUGAGUCUGUAUCCCUCUGGAAAAAUGGAAAUAAAAGUGCCUACCUUA